UACAGAGGUCCCGAGCGUUGUUCGGAUUCACUGGGCGUAAAGGGUGCGUAGGUGGCGCGCUAAGUCAGGUGUGAAAUUUCGGAGCUUAACUCCGAAACUGCAUUUGAUACUGGCGUGCUUGAGGACUGGAGAGGAGACUGGAAUUCACGGUGUAGCAGUGAAAUGCGUAGAUAUCGUGAGGAAGACCAGUGGCGAAGGCGGGUCUCUGGACAGUUCCUGACACUGAGGCACGAAGGCCAGGGGAGCAAACGGG
rnacentral:rRNA from 1 species